GUCUUUUUGAGUUUAAUUUAAAGUCUAGCCUGCCCACUGAAAUAUUUAAAGGGCCGCGGUAUUUUGACCGUGCAAAGGUAGCAUAAUCAUUAGUUUUUUAAUUGAAAGCUUGUAUGAAUGGUUGGACGAGGUAUUAGCUGUUUCAAAUAAAUUUUUAUUAGAAUUUAUCUUUUUUGUAAAAAGACAAAAAUAUUUUUAAAGGACGAGAAGACCCUAUAGAGCUUUAUAAUUUAUUUUUUAUAAUUUAUAAAGAAUAUUUAAAAUUUUAUUAAAAAAAUUAUUUUGUUGGGGUGACAAUAAGAUUUAAUAAACUCUUAUUAUUUUUUUCCAUUGAUUUAUGAAUUAUUGAUCCAUUAUUAAUGAUUAAAAAAUUAAGUUACCUUAGGGAUAACAGCGUAAUUUUUUUUAAGAGUUCAUAUCGACAAAAAAGAUUGCGACCUCGAUGUUGGAUUAAGAGUUAUUUUUAGGUGUAGAAGUUUAAAAUUUAGGUCUGUUCGACCUUUGAAUUCUU
rnacentral:rRNA from 1 species